AUCCCAUGAUGUGGAUACUUUAUUAAAAAAAUAUUAUACCACUCCUAGGCAUCAUAUAGUGUCUCCUCAUCUAAUUGCACAAAAUUUGAGAUCUCAAUCCUCAUGUG